UUUGGUUAAGUAAUUCUUUCUUCUGUGUGAUAAAAUUAUUAAUUGCCACAUUUUCAGAAUUAAAUAUUAUUAAUCCAGUUCUACAAUGAUAUUCCAUCUGCAAAGUUCAUAUCAACUUUGUUUUAAUAUAUAUUAAUAUAAUAUAAAUCAAUUUUGACAAAACAAAUUUUAUCUGUAGGAAAAUUGCCUCUAUAAUAAUGCCAGGUAGCUGGAAAGAACCACAGAAGAAGGUAAUGUAAAUAUAAAUGUGUGUUGCUAGUAUAAGACAAAAAACACACACAGAUAUCUCCUUUACUAAUCACCUCUUCAUAUGAUCGAAUCUACACAAACAGACUGACAGCCUGGACUGCUCAGGAGCAUUUGAUUUCAGUCAGGAAGACAUGCCAAAAAUUAGAAGAUGGUGGUGUCAUCUCUUACUU